rnacentral:sRNA from 1 species
ACAAGGCAUUUUGGGAACUCACUGGCUUCAGGUUCCAUCGGAAUUCCGAAGUUAAGCGAGUUCACGCGAGAGCAAUCCCAGGAUGGGAGACCCACUGAGAAGUUCUUGUGUGAGUUCUCAGAAACAAAACCAUGAGGGCGUGAUCGGGGCCCAAAGCGGACAAUAUCGUGUUACGGCGGAGUCGAGCCCGAGAUGUGAUAAUUUGGUAUUAGAGUCAAUCCUUGGCCUGAUGUAUGCCGACGAGGACGUCGGGCCCCUAAGGGGGGUGGAUUGUAAUUAUCCCACAUCACCCAGGGGUGUGGAUCAUGUAAGUUUUAUAUGCAUAUUCCCAUCUAGCACGAGGCUUUUUGGGAACUCACUAACUUUGGGUUCCAUCAGAACUCCGAAGUUAAGCGAGUUUGCGCGAGAACGAUCUCAGGAUCGGUGAUCCACUAGAAAGUUCUCAUGUGAGUUUCC